rnacentral:rRNA from 1 species
UACGGGGGGGGCAAGCGUUGUUCGGAAUUACUGGGCGUAAAGGGCGUGUAGGCGGCCAACUAAGUCCGACGUGAAAUCCCCAGGCUUAACCUGGGAACUGCGUCGGAUACUGGAUGGCUUGAAUUCGGGAGAGGGAUGCAGAAUUCCAGGUGUAGCGGUGAAGUGCGUAGAUAUCUGGAGGAAUACCGGUGGCGAAGGCGGCAUCCUGGACCGACAUUGACGCUGAAGCGCGAAAGCUAGGGGAGCAAACGGG